rnacentral:misc_RNA from 1 species
GAUGAAGAACGCAGCGAAAUGCGAUACGUAAUGUGAAUUGCAGAAUUCAGUGAAUCAUCGAGUCUUUGAACGCACAUCGCGCCCUCUGGUAUUCCGGAGGGCAUGCCUGUCCGAGCGUCAUUGCUGCCCUCAAGCACGGCUUGUGUGUUGGGCUCCGUCCCCCGAUCCCGGGGGACGGGCCCGAAAGGCAGCGGCGGCACCGCGUCCGGUCCUCGAGCGUAUGGGGCUUUGUCACCCGCUCUGUAGGCCCGGCCGGCGCUUGCCGAUCAACCAAAUUUUUAUCCAGGUUGACCUCGGAUCAGGUAGGGAUACCCGCUGAACUUAAGCAUAUCAAUAAGCGGAGGA